GCAUCAGUUUGGUUUGCUUGCAAACCAAAGCUGGCGACCGGCGCACGGGUGAGUAACACGUAUCCAACCUGCCUCAUACUCGGGGAUAGCCUUUCGAAAGAAAGAUUAAUAUCCGAUAGCAUAUAUUUCCCGCAUGGGUUUUAUAUUAAAGAAAUUCGGUAUGAGAUGGGGAUGCGUUCCAUUAGUUUGUUGGCGGGGUAACGGCCCACCAAGACUACGAUGGAUAGGGGUUCUGAGAGGAAGGUCCCCCACAUUGGAACUGAGACACGGUCCAAACUCCUACGGGAGGCAGCAGUGAGGAAUAUUGGUCAAUGGACGCGAGUCUGAACCAGCCAAGUAGCGUGAAGGAUGACUGCCCUAUGGGUUGUAAACUUCUUUUAUAUGGGAAUAAAGUGGUCCACGUGUGGAUUUUUGUAUGUACCAUAUGAAUAAGGAUCGGCUAACUCCGUGCCAGCAGCCGCGGUAAUACGGAGGAUCCGAGCGUUAUCCGGAUUUAUUGGGUUUAAAGGGAGCGUAGGCGGAUUGUUAAGUCAGUUGUGAAAGUUUGCGGCUCAACCGUAAAAUUGCAGUUGAUACUGGCAGUCUUGAGUGCAGUAGAGGUGGGCGGAAUUCGUGGUGUAGCGGUGAAAUGCUUAGAUAUCACGAAGAACUCCGAUUGCGAAGGCAGCUCACUGGAGUGUAACUGACGCUGAUGCUCGAAAGUGUGGGUAUC
rnacentral:rRNA from 1 species